GAUGAACGCUGGCGGUAUGCCUAACACAUGCAAGUCGUACGAGAGUUUUUAACUCAAGUGGCGGACGGGUGAGUAACACGUGAGAAUUCGCCUUUAGGAGGGGGACAACAACUGGAAACGGUUGCUAAUACCCCAUAUGCUUUCGAGUGAAAUGAAUUUAUUCGCCUAAAGAGAAGCUCGCGGCUGAUUAGCUUGUUGGUAGGGUAAGAGCCUACCAAGGCGACGAUCAGUAUCUGGUUUGAGAGGACGACCAGACACACUGGAACUGAGACACGGUCCAGACUCCUACGGGAGGCAGCAGUGGGGAAUUUUCCGCAAUGGGCGAAAGCCUGACGGAGCAAUACCGCGUGAGGGAAGACGGCCUAUGGGUUGUAAACCUCUUUUUUCAGGGAGGAAUAACUGACGUGUACCUGAAGAAUAAGCAUCGGCUAACUCCGUGCCAGCAGCCGCGGUAAGACGGAGGAUGCAAGUGUUAUCCGGAAUCACUGGGCGUAAAGCGUCUGUAGGUGGUUAAACAAGUCAACUGUUAAAUCUUGAGGCUCAACUUCAAAAUCGCAGUCGAAACUGUUUGACUAGAGUAUAGUAGGGGUAAAGGGAAUUUCCAGUGGAGCGGUGAAAUGCGUAGAUAUUGGAAAGAACACCGAUGGCGAAGGCACUUUACUGGGCUAUUACUGACACUCAGAGACGAAAGCUAGGGUAGCAAAUGGGAUUAGAUACCCCAGUAGUCCUAGCCGUAAACAAUGGAUACUAGAUGUUGAACAGAUCGACCUGUGCAGUAUCAAAGCUAACGCGUUAAGUAUCCCGCCUGGGAAGUAUGCUCGCAAGAGUG
rnacentral:rRNA from 1 species